UUCUUCUCCUUUCUCAAAUUUUCCUUCUUGUUGCAGCAACAACCUGCCACCGUUCCUUCUCAUCACCAACAUUUUCUUCUUAUUUACUACUAUCCCAUUCUCUCAUUCACGUCCCUACAGCACCCUCACCACUUUCUUUUCAUCUCCUUCCCAUCACCAUUAAAACACCACCACCAACAUAUCUUCUUCUUCUUCUUGAUUUAUUUCUGCUGCACACACUCACCAUCACUUUCUCCUCUUCAUGGAAGCCGUGAGACCACCACCACCAAGCUGCUACUCCUUCUUCCUCUACUCCACGCAAGCACCACAACCACCGGGAGCAAGCCACCAAAGGCAGCCACCACCUCCAUUUCCUUCAACUUUUCUCAUCUCAAUUUUGAGCUUUUGAGUUAGAGGUUUGGAUCGAGUUGAGCUAAAGAAGGAAGAUUCAGAACAAGCUGUGAAGUUUCAGGAUAGAGGAGAAUAACCCAAGGCCCUAACAGGUGUGUCUCUGAGGAGCUGUUGAUUGCUGCAAGAAGGUGAUUGGGCUAAUUGACGAUGAGACUUCCUUGGAGUGAGUGAACCAACUGAAGACUUGUGGAAGUAAUAGUUAGAUGUAAGGCUAGAGCCUUGGGUAGAGAAGCUUACCGUCAUUGGUUGAAGCUCAU